UGCGAGCUUUCCAUGCAGUCGAACGGCAGCACGGGGCAACCUGGUGGCGAGUGGCGAACGGGUGAGUAAUAUAUCGGAACGUGCCCAAUCGUGGGGGAUAACGUAGCGAAAGUUACGCUAAUACCGCAUACGAUCUACGGAUGAAAGCGGGGGAUCGCAAGACCUCGCGCGAAUGGAGCGGCCGAUAUCAGAUUAGGUAGUUGGUGGGGUAAAGGCUCACCAAGCCAACGAUCUGUAGCUGGUCUGAGAGGACGACCAGCCACACUGGAACUGAGACACGGUCCAGACUCCUACGGGAGGCAGCAGUGGGGAAUUUUGGACAAUGGGCGCAAGCCUGAUCCAGCCAUGCCGCGUGCGGGAAGAAGGCCUUCGGGUUGUAAACCGCUUUUGUCAGGGAAGAAACGCUCUGGGCUAAUACCCUGGGGUAAUGACGUACCUGAAGAAUAAGCACCGGCUAACUACGUGCCAGCAGCCGCGGUAAUACGGAGGGUGCGAGCGUUGUCCGGAAUCACUGGGCGUAAAGGGCGCGUAGGCGGCCCGGUAAGUAGGGGGUGAAAUCUUGCGGCUUAACCGCAAGGCUGCCUUCUAGACUGCCAGGCUCGAGCACAGUAGAGGCAGGUGGAAUUCCCGGUGUAGCGGUGGAAUGCGUA
rnacentral:rRNA from 1 species